GCUGGGCGUGGCAGCGGACGCCUGUAGUCCCAGCUACUUGGGAGGCUGAGGCAGGAGAAUCGCUUGAACCCAGGAGCUGGAGGUUGCAGUGAGCGGAGAUGGUGCCACUGCACUCCAGCCUGGGCGACAGAGUUAGACUCUGUCUCAC
rnacentral:SRP_RNA from 1 species